GAGUGCGAGGGCAUACAGUCCUCGCUUUUCGUGACCGUAAGAAGGUCUAAGAAUAAGAGCUGGGCAAGACCGGUGCCAGCCGCCGCGGUAAUACCGGCAGCUCGAGUGAUACCCACUAUUAUUGGGCCUAAAGCGUCCGUACGCCGGCCGAACGGGUCCGUCGGGAAAUCCACCUGCUCAACGGGUGGACGUCCGGCGGAAACCAGUCGGUUUGGGGCCGGGAGACCAGAGAGGUACGUCCGGGGUAGGAGUGAAAUCCCGUAAUCCUGGACGGACCGCCGGUAGCGAAAGCGUCUCUGGAGAACGGACCCGACGGUGAGGGACGAAAGCUUGGGUCUCGAACCGGAUUAAAUACCCGGGUAGUCCAAGCUGUAAACGAUGCUCGCUAGGUGUGGCGUUGGCUACGAGCCAGCGCUGUGCCGUAGGGAAGCCGAGAAGCGAGCCGCCUGGGAAGUACGUCCGCAAGGAUGAAACUUAAAGGAAUUGGCGGGGGAGCACA
rnacentral:rRNA from 1 species